GCUUCAGUUGCUGAGGAGUAGAAUUCUGUCAUGGUAGGCAAUGGCAAAGUCCAAUUUGACAGGCACAGAUUCUAAAGAACAGUAUGGGAGCAGAGUCACCCGGGCAACAGCGUUUAGAAAUAGAACAGUUGUUCAAAAAACUUUUUCUGCUAGAGAUCUGAAAGAAUCCUCAAAUUGCGGACAGGUGGGGUAUUGGGAUGAGCAAAAACAACAGAAACUUUUGGUUACUUCACAAGAAUACAUUUUUUCACCGGGUGAUUGUAUAAACAGAUGAGUUGUUGGCAGUUACGCAUUGUUCUGCGUCAUAAUCAUUUUAU